CUCGUCAGUGAUGCUGAAUGACAAAAAAGGACUAGCAAAGCACGAGUUCGAAGAGCAUUUAGGACCAACAAUUCCUAAAAGUUUUGCCAAAUAUAACUACAUUAACUGUAAGGUGAUCUCUUCCUGAGUUAGAAAAGCCUUAUUAUUUCAAAAAAUCAAAGAUUGUUAACACUUAUUUAUAAUUAUGACAAUAUGUAAACACUCUUGUCUUCUAUAAACAAAACUUAUGAUACAGGACUAAAGCCAGCAAAUCAAAUUAAAGGAGUUAUGUUUCAUUUAACCACAUAUGUGAAAAAGCGGGUGCAAUAUAUUCCAACCAACAAGGAAGGAGAUAACGGGUACAUAUCAAUGAGACAGCAACCAACAAGGAAGGAGAUAACGGGUACAUAUCAAUGAGACAGCAACCAACAAGGAAGGAGAUAACGGGCACAUAUCAAUGAGACAACAACCAACAAGGAAGGAGAUAACAGCACUUAUUAUACCACUUCAUCCCGGCCCCACCACCAUUUAUAAAAUUGUUGUAAGGCUUCAAGUGCGAUUGGAUCGAUAUAAAAAUAGUUUUAAAAUAUCACACAAAUAAAUUCAUUAUCAUUGUAAAUAAUUGCAAAUGCUUAAAGUAUUUCUGUUCGUACAUAUGUACAAAUAUUUGUGGUCGUAAAAUAUUUC
rnacentral:lncRNA from 1 species